rnacentral:tRNA from 1 species
AUUAUUAUAGUUUAAAUAAAAAUAUUAAAUUGCAAAUUUAAAGAUUAAUUUUAUGUUAUAAUAAUU